AGAAAAAAAUUUUAAAUGAUCACAUAUCAUUCCAUAACAUAUAAUUCCAUUGAUCUCUUCAGGGAAGUGGAGGAGGAAGAAAAAGCUGGUUCCCCUAAACCAUGGCAAGGAAUAAAAGGAUGGCUUGCUUUCCAUUUUAGGAGCCUCCAUUCUAAAUGCCCAAAGAUCCUUACUUAGUAGGACAGCAGGUCAUGGAUUGGGAUAAAGUGCAGGAUAUCAGUAUCUGGCCUAUGUUUUAUGCCUUCAGGCUGUGACCUCUUCACUACACAUUAUGGACUCUUGUGCAAGCCCACUUGCUUUUGGAACCAUUUUUGUUCUUAUUUCAAUUAUUUUUGGCACUUUGUAACACAAUUUGGGGUUUCUUUGAGAAGAUACUAGAGGGAUUUGCUAUUUCAUCUUCAACUUAUUUUACAAAUAAGGAAACUGAGGCAAACAAGGUUAAAUGACUUGCUUAAGCUCACACAAUUCAGUAUCCAAGGCAAUAUUUGAUCUCAAGAAGAUGAAAGUUCCUAGCCAAAGACUGAACACAUUACAUAGUGCUAGCAGUCUCAUAAAAAAAUAAAACUGAUUAAAAGAAAAAAAAUUAAAAAAAAAAAACUAAGGAUAAGUAGGAUCUGUGGGAGCACUUAUCACACAAGGGUCCAUGUAUCAGGGACAUAUUGAAGGUGUUAAGGCCUCAGGUUCUUCCCCUGAGCUGGAGUCAGCCACUUCUGCUCCCAGAACCCCCCACACCUCUCAGCUGCUUUGCAUAAAGAGAUCCCCAAGGGGAGGGGCUGCAGACAUAGGGAGAUAAACUGGGCCUGGGGCAGAGCAGCCACAGGGAAGGAGUCACUGCAAGAUGGAGUCUCUGUCCCAGCUUCUCUGUGGGCUCCUGAUGCUUUGGGUCCCAGUUUCCAGGGGAGAAAUUGUGCUGAGCCAGUCUCCAGCCUCGGUGUCUGUGAGCCCAGGAGAGAGAGUCACCAUCAGCUGCAAGGCCAGUGAGAGUGUCACAGCCAAUAGUGGAACGAUUUACUUACACUGGUUCCAACAGAAACCCAGACAGUCUCCUCGGCUACUCAUUUACAAGGUUUCCAACCUGCACUCAGGAGUCCCCGCCCGCUUCAGUGGCAGUGGUGCUGGUCAGGAUUUCACCCUCACAAUCAGCAGUGUGGAGGCUGAAGAUGGGGCAGAAUAUUACUGUUCUCAAGCAUCUCAUUAUCCUCCCACAGUGUUACAGCCCUGAACAAAAACCUCCCCAGGCCUGGGCUGGCUGCUCAGGGAGGCCCAGCUGCCUCCCCUCCUUCCUCUACUGCAGCAGCUGCUGGGGGCCUGCUCAGGGGCAGGGUCUCUGGGGCUGAUGAGAUAAAAGGGACUCGGGGCUCAGGGGAAAGGCCACGGUCUGAGAGCUCAGUGCUCUGGGGACUCUUGCUCCUCUUCAGCCAUGAGCAGAAUCAUCAAAGAAAGACUGAGUCACCCCUCAAUGCCCUGGGCCUGAGGCAUCUGAUUCCUCUACACAAGAAACAAAGAGAAAGUAGAAACUUCUGGCCAGAGAUUCUUUCUGUCCUUUCUCCCUGGCUCAAUCACAGUCAAUUGUGCUCAGCAGUCAAUAACUCUUGGGACCAAGAGCACAAGAAGAUCAGGCAACAGGCUAAAGAAAUCCAUCAUGGACCCAGCUUAAAAUUCACAUCCUCCCAGCAGCCAGAUGGCACGGGGCAGCUGCCCUGGAAUCAGGAGGACCUGUGUGCAAAUCUAGACUCAGACACUUCAUAUUUUCUAGCUGUGUGACCCUGGGUAAGUUAAGCCUAAUUGCCUCAGAAAAAAAAAUUACACUCUGGAUCCAUUUUCUCUGACCAUGCAUUUGAAUCAGAUUUUUAUCUACUUUUAUUUUAUAAAUGCUGGGGGCCAUAAAGAUCUCUCUGGAGUCUCCUCUGUCCUCUCUUUUCAAAGGAAGACUUCAAUUCCUACAAAGAAGGGGAAUAAGAGAUGGGAGCCAAGAAACCGAACAUUCUCUUCUCCUCAUUGUUUUGGAGUCUGCUCAGAAUUAUAACAAUCUCCCCAAUCUUAAUAAAAUUAAUCUAACAAAA